ACAAGCAUGGCAGUUCCUUGGGAAGCUAGAAAUAGAUCUAGAUACACCACUGGUGGGCAUAGGACUCUCCAUCCCACCUCAGAGAUACUUGCUCCUCCAUCUUCAUGGCUACUCUAUUCCAACAACUGAGAAUGACUAAUGAAAAUGUAGUAUAUUCACACGGUGGAAUAUUAUUUAGCUGUGAAGAAGAACUGAAACUGUGAAAUGUGCAGGACCUGGAAUCAUCUAGAAGACUGUCCUCUGGGUAUGUCUACAGGAGUUUCUAGAUUAGGUUCACUGAGCUGGGAAGACUCAUCCUAAACGCUCCACUACAGAGAACAACUUGGGAAAAUGAGGACUGUCGUCUCCAUUGUGCAGAAGGGUAGAUUUUGAAGGAAGAUUAUCUGAAGUCUUCAUACCACCAGGUGACUUCGGGUAUUUUAAUUACAGUAAUUAGCCACUCCUCUGAGGUAAACCUGUCUUCACUGAAAGCUUCAGACUACCAUAGGAUGGUCAGUGAGUUGAAGGGAUCUGCCCUUCUAAUACAGCAUUCAUGUGACUGGGAUUGAUGGAUAAGCAACUGUAAGUAGAGACUUUCUCAAGAGCCAAUCUCUGACCAUCUGGUGUCAUGUGAUCAUAAAACAUAUCCUUAAACAAAAGGGAUUCCAUAUUCAUCCACAUUUGUUCCAUCUGUCUUCUGUCCAGCAGGCGAAAUUCUCCAGAAAACUGUCUACACUUGAUGACUUCAUUCCCUCCCACCUUCUGCCUUGUGCUCCCUUGGGCUUCCUCCGCUCUGAAAAAGCCUCAGGGACCACGUUGUGAAGUUCAGCUACAUACCGAGGUGGUCAUAUCACUUGCCUCAGCCUCAGCCUCUGGCAUGGUUUCCCUGCUCACUUCCUGUCUCUCUUCCACGGCUCUGCUGGCCUCCUUUCCUCAGAGAAGCCCCUUCCCAAUUUUAUAGCAAACUCCUUCUGCCAUUUCCAAGCAUCCAUCAUUGGGAUUCUUCUCCCUAGAGUAGAGUGAAUCCAGCCUAUGAUGUCACUUUACAUGCAGAAACCCGAUGCUUUCUCACCACUUUGCAUGCCAAGUAUAGAACUCUAACCAUGGGCUGGCAUAAAGGACAGAUGCCUCUCAGGGUCCUCAGUAUGAAAUAUAAAUUUAUAAACGUAUUCCACUCCCCCAGGCUAGUAACGCAGAAAUCCUAAGUCAAUCCUCACAUCCAAUCUCUCAUUGUAACAGGCUAGAAAGAUAAGAGAAUCUACAGGUUCACUUUUACCUUUUGAUCUAAAUAUCAGACUAUUGAUACAGAGGACUUUGAAGAAAUGCCAUUUUUCCCCCAGUAAUCUCAUGCUGGGAGAAGAAAAAACACCAGUCUCCCAAGGAAAGAUUUCACACAGUUCUAACAACUAUCCAGGCCAUCUUCUAGGAUGAGACUAAAGCCUUGACAAUGGUGGAUCAGUGGUGGAUGGACCUGCACCAUGGUCCUGACUGUGUACACGUGUGUGUCCUUGGCCCUCUAUUUAAAUUUCAAUCUCACUUCAAGACCCAAAGGAGGACUUGGAGAGUCAAUGUGUUACUUCUUUGCAAUGUGGACACAAUAAAUAAAUCUUCUUUCUCUGUAUCUUGCUUUUAAUCUCUCUCUUCAUUGGCUCAUUGAGAAUGGGUAGCCAGAUCUGGCUUGGGCACAUUUCUGACUCUCCAAGUUGGUAACACCAGCCUCCUUCUCUUCUACUGAUUGCCCAAAUAUGGAUUCUCCUCCCCAUGGCUCCUGCCACCAGUCACAUCUACAAAAUGUGAGAGUUCAAAGACAAAAGUCUUUAGCAUUGACUCUAGUCUCUCUACUCCAGCCACACCUGGCUUCUUCUCCAACUUUCACAGAAGUUGUCUUGCUCCCUUGGGUGAGACCUCUUCUCCAACCCUGUAGCCUACCAGAUUUCUACUCAGCCUUUGGAUGUCAGAUCCCUAAACACAUCCUCAGACUGGCCUGUCUGUCCUUCAGCAUAAACUCACACAUUAUCACCUUAUUCUUGUUGUUAGAUCUUAUCUUGACUUCCAACUGAGUGGCUUGUUGUUUGCUGUGUGCCUCCUCACUGGACUUUAAAGUCUCUCAUGGGAGGAUCAUCUCUCUGUCUAUCCUUGAAACAUUCUCCCAAAGGAAGAACUGCCGUUGUUACUUGUUAUUUAAGUUCGCUGUUCAUUUUUCAUUGAUCAUAUCUUUUAUAUCCUUCAUGACUUUUCCUUAAGUCCUUUCCAUUUCUGAAAGUAAAUGAGUAAAAAAUGAAAAGGGUGAUUAAACUGACUCUGUAACUAAUUGUUGUCCCCCCCCCAGCCCUUCAUCCACAGAAAAGAGAGAAAGGAUCUGAGGAGGAGACUUAGGCAUAUCAUAGGAUUAUAACAAACAGGGUGUUUGGAUGCUAACAUAUUAACAAAGGAAACGGCUGAAGGUCCCUGGUGGUGCUGCUCCUAUGCCUUUGUGAUCCCCAGUGUCGGAUUUUCAUUAGCUUGUAUCCUCAAAAUCAUUAACCUGUGAGCAUCACAGCCUUCCUUCCUCCCCCUCCUCCCAUAAAAGAUAGCAUUAGACUUAGUGCUGCCCUAUUGUUUGGGUGAGUGCAGACAGCAGGAAACCCAUGCAAGCGGAUCUUUAAGAGCAAAGCCAACCAAGAGGAACUGUUCUCCCAGGUUGAGA